CCUUAUCAUUUAGAGGAAGGAGAAGUCGUAACAAGGUUUCCGUAGGUGAACCUGCGGAAGGAUCAUUGUCGAAAUCGAACGGAAGAACGACCCGCGAAUCGUCAUUGCGUACUAGACAGAGCCCGUGAGCACCUAACGCUCACGGGGCUCGCGUCGCGUCGGAGCGGGUGUCCUCGAGACGCGUCGUACCGGCGGACAAACAACGUCAGCACGGAUCGUGCCAAGGAGCUUUAUUGAGAGAAUCGUCGUCCCACGCCUUUGACAGUCCUCGAUGCGGGACGGGGGGCGGGGGGAUGUACGCAAUCUCUACCCAAAGUCUGAACGACUCUCGGCAACGGAUAUCUCGGCUCUUGCAUCGAUGAAGAACGUAGCGAAAUGCGAUACUUGGUGUGAAUUGCAGAAUCCCGCGAACCAUCAAUUCUUUGAACGCAAGUUGCGCCCGAAGCCAUACGGCCGAGGGCACGCCUGCCUGGGUGUCGUGAAUCCCCUUGCCCCUAGGCACCCGCAUGAGCAUUGGCGGGGAAAUAUGCUCGGGCGCAGAAUAUGGUCUCCCGUGGGAUCGGCAUGCACGGCAUGUCGAGGUGCGGUUGGCCGAAAAUCGAGCAUGGCGGUGACGGGCACCACGGCGUUCGGUGGAUCGAAUGAGAUUGGCUGCGCCGUGGGCUCGGCAUGCGGCGGGCUCCGGACUUUGAUUAUCCCCGAGUGCGAUCCCAGGUCAGGCGGGGCUACCCGCUGAGUUUAAGCAUAUCAAUAAGCGGAGGAAAAGAAACUAACGAGGAUUCCCUUAGUAGCGGCGAGCGAACCGGGAAGAGCCCAGCGUGAAAAUCGUCCGUCAUCGGCGGCCGAAUUGUAGUCUGGAGAAGCGUCCUCAGUGACGGACCGGACCCAAGUUCACUGGAAGGUGGCGCCGGAGAGGGUGAGAGCCCCGUCGUGUCCGGACCCUGUCG
rnacentral:rRNA from 1 species